GAUGCUUAUUAUUAGAUCCAUAUCAGUCCAUUAGUUAUCAUAUACGAGCCAUUGGAAAGUGAUUCAAGGUGAUAGUCCAUAGUGUCUUAAGCCAUUAAUGGACCUUGACUACCAUCUCUAUUGACUUAUAUGGAUUAAAUUUUCAUUGUCAAACCUAUACCGGUUCGGGAAAUAACUAUAGGUUAAAUCCCCAAUGCGAGGAGAAAAAUCCGGAAUUUUCCACUUUGCAUCCUGAACUUGAACCUAGCAACCUUU
rnacentral:lncRNA from 1 species